ensembl:lncRNA capping protein regulator and myosin 1 linker 1
AUGUAUAUACUGUAUGUUUACGUGUUAUUUGCAGUCAGAAUUACUGGUGACAGCUCUGCAUCUCUCCCACUGACAAGUGUGAGGGAUGCAGUGGGGAGGAAGGUGAAGCUGUCACUGAGGAAGAGAGUCAAACUGGAGAUCAAAGGGGACAAGAUGGAGAACAGAGUCCUGGUGGAACAUUCCUUUAAUUAUCUGGAGAUCCAGGGAAUCUCUUGCAACAAGCCAACCCAGCUGCUCAUAGAGUAUGAGCGUGGCUCGUUCUCUCUGAAGCUGCCCUCCACAGAGGAGGUGGACGAGGUGGUGGCUCACAUAGGAAACUGUCUGCUGAGGAUAUGUCCCGGACUGCCACCCAGUAAAGUGAUGAAGAAGCUUUGCAUGGAGCCUCCAGACAGACUGCCCUCCCUGCAGACUCUGUGGGAAAACAACAAGCUGGCCGAACCUGGACCCUGUGGUGGAUUUUCUCAGAUGUACAGGUGUGUUUGUGACUGGCUCGGGCUGCCUCACAGAGAAGAGGUGCAGUGGGACGUAGACACCAUCUAUUUGACACAAGACUCUAGAGAACUUAACCUGCAAGACUUCAGCCAUUUGGAGAACAGGGAUCUGGUAGCUAUAAUAGCAGUUUUGGAGUUUAACCAGUGGUUCACCAAGCUCUCAACCAAGGACUACAAACUGUCUGCAGAUGUGUGUGAGCAGAUACUUCGAGUGGUGUCCCGAUCCAGUCGACUGGAAGAGUUGGUUCUGGACAACGCAGGACUUAAAACUGAUUUUGCCCAGAAGCUAGCAGUUGCCCUGUCCCACAACCCCAGCUCAGGACUCACCACCAUAAAUCUUGCCAACAACCCACUGGAGGACAGAGGCGUUUCCUCUCUGGGUGCUCAGUUUGCCAAACUUCGCAUGGGGCUCAAGCAUUUAAACUUUUCCAAAACCUCACUGUCGCCCAAAGGGGUGAAUAGCCUUUGCCAGUCACUGAGUGCCAACCCAUCCAUCCCCAGCAGCCUCGUCCAUCUGGACCUCUCAGGGAAUAUGCUCAGAGGAGACGACAUGCAGCAUUUUUACCACUUCCUUGGUCAACCCAACAGCCUGAUAACCCUUGACCUCUCUAACACUGACUGCUCAUUGGACCAGGUUUGCUCUGCUUUGCUGCGAGGCUCAGUCCAACACCUCUCUGUUCUCAAUGUGUCAAAGAGCGUCUUCCCUCACAGGAAAGGAAAAGAGGUGCCUCCUUCAUUCAAACACUUCUUCAGCAGUGCGGCUUCUCUCGGCUACAUCAACGUGUCAGGAACCAAGCUGCCGCCAGAGGCCCUCAAGGCACUCCUGCUUGGAUUGGCCAGUAACCCCAGUCUGAAGGAUGUGUCUCUGGACCUUAGCUGCUGUGAGUUGAGGUCCGGAGGGUCUCAGAUCCUUGAAGGCUGCAUUGCUGAGAUCCCUAACAUCUCAAGCCUAGAUAUCUCUGAUAAUGGCCUGGACUCAGACCUGUCCACUCUCCUUGUUUGGUUAGCCAAGAAUCGCUCCAUCAGACACCUGUCUCUGGGCAAGAACUUCAACAACAUCAAAUCCAAAAACCUUGCUCCAGUGUUGGACAGCCUGGUUCACAUGAUUCAAGAGGAGGAGUCGCCCCUCACCUCUCUGUCUCUAGCAGACUCCAGACUAAAGACUGAUCUGACUAUCGUUCUCAACGCCCUCGGCAGCAACUCUUCCCUCACAAGGCUCGACAUCAGCGGGAACGCCAUGGGUGACAUGGGAGCCAAGAUGCUCGCCAAGGCGCUGCAGAUCAACUCCAAACUCAGGACUGUGAUCUGGGAUAAGAACAACACCAGCCCUCAGGGUCUACAGGAUGUAGCAGCCGCUCUUGAGAAAAACUACACCAUUCGUUUCAUGCCCAUCCCCAUCAUCGAUGCCUCCCAGGCUCUGAAGGCCAGCCCGGAGAAAACAGAGGACGCUCUGCUAAAGAUUGAGAAUUAUUUGUACAGAAACCAUGAAACCAGAAAAUACCUGCAGGAGCAGGCUUAUCGGCUUCAGCAGGGUAUCGUCACCACAACCACACAGCAGAUGAUGGAGAGGAUUUGUGUUAAGGUGCAGGACCACCUGAAUUCUCUGAGGAACUCAGAGACAGACGCCAUCUUGGAGGAUGUCAGGGCAGCAGAGAACCUUAUCAAAGAUGCCAGGAACUCUAAAACGCUGCUGCCCAACCUCUACCACCUUGGAUCAGCAUCCAGAGAGGACUUGAACAGUUCAUCAGUGGGUCCCAUCCAGGAGAAGCUGGAGUCCAUGGCUGGAGAGGUGACUUCUGUCAUGGACAAACAAUUGCAGAGUCUGUUGGAGUCCAUGGUGGAUACAGCAGAAUCUCUCUGUCCUCAUGUCAUAAAGAGGAGUAAUCUUCGUCCUGAGCUGAUAAAGGCCAGUUCAGCUAAGAUGGUUGUACCUAAAAGCUUUGUCACCAAAACUCUUGUGGAGCAGUCGGGGGUGGAUAUUAUCAACAAGAUCAGUGAGGUGAAACUGAGUUUAGCGUCCUUUCUGUCUGAUCGUAUUGUGGAUGAGAUUUUGGAGGCUCUCUCCACGUCACAACAAACACUGGCUGACCACCUGGUACGUCGAGGUCGUCCCUUGGUACAACAAGAGUCUGUGGACCUGGAUGUCCCGGAGGAGAAGAUUCCUAAACGGGCUUCGGAUGAGAUACUUGAGGCGGAGAGGCUUGAGGAUCUGGAAACAUGCAUGAUGACUCCUAAAUCUAAAAGGAAAAGCAUCCAUAGCCGAAUGCUGCGGCCAGUGUCUCGUGCUUUUGAGAUGGAGUUUGACCUAGACAAGGCUCUGGAGGACGUCCCUGUACAUGUGGACGACACUUCCACUUCAUCUCAGACCCCCCCUACGCCGUCUUUGGCCCUGCCUAAACUGGAGCAACGUCCGCCGGGAACCAUGGUAGAGCUGCCAUCUGAGGAGGAGAAGAAGCUGCAGCACUUCACCAAACUGCGACCUCGGAGGAACAAAAAAACUCAUUCCAGCAAAGUACCUCAAAUCAACAGCACUCCGUCUCAAGAUGGGGAACAGAAUGGCCUCAUGGGAAGGGUGGAUGAGGGUGUAGAUGAGUUUUUUUCUAAAAAAGUCACCAAGAUUGAUUCCAAGCGUUCCCUGAAAAGCUCAGAAUCUCAGGAUGGAGAAAAGAAGAAGAAAGGAGGAUUUCUAAACCUCAUCAAACGGUCCUCCAAAUCUGAUAAAUCAGAUAACACAUCCUUAUUGACAUUUUGUUUCCACUGCAGGGACGCCUCCAUUCGCUCUCAACCCACAGACUACAGCAGCAGCUCAGACCGGUCAGAGGAGCUGAGGACACCGGACUCUAUAGACGAACCGUGGGAGGGUUCAGACGGCAGGGGGAGUCCUCAGGGAGGGAGGCGGUACCCCGGCAUGCAAAUGAUGGGCAGCGGCCUUCUGGCAGAGAUGAAAGCCAAACAGGAGAGGAGAGCACACAAGGUAAAGGAUCUGUUUUUGUGUCAAAGCGCUGUAGGUGUUAAGCCUCCCCUUGUCAAAGUUGGUUUGUUCAACACUCGCCAAGUGUGGUUUCCAGCUGGGAGAAUGUGGAGAAUAAGAGGCAGCAUAGAUGCUGAAACACUUUAUCUUCAGGCAAGCCAUUGCACCUGA